rnacentral:rRNA from 1 species
GAUGAACGCUGGCGGCGUGCCUAAUACAUGCAAGUCGAGCGAACGGACGAGAAGCUUGCUUCUCUGAUGUUAGCGGCGGACGGGUGAGUAACACGUGGAUAACCUACCUAUAAGACUGGGAUAACUUCGGGAAACCGGAGCUAAUACCGGAUAAUAUUUUGAACCGCAUGGUUCAAAAGUGAAAGACGGUCUUGCUGUCACUUAUAGAUGGAUCCGCGCUGCAUUAGCUAGUUGGUAAGGUAACGGCUUACCAAGGCAACGAUGCAUAGCCGACCUGAGAGGGUGAUCGGCCACACUGGAACUGAGACACGGUCCAGACUCCUACGGGAGGCAGCAGUAGGGAAUCUUCCGCAAUGGGCGAAAGCCUGACGGAGCAACGCCGCGUGAGUGAUGAAGGUCUUCGGAUCGUAAAACUCUGUUAUUAGGGAAGAACAUAUGUGUAAGUAACUGUGCACAUCUUGACGGUACCUAAUCAGAAAGCCACGGCUAACUACGUGCCAGCAGCCGCGGUAAUACGUAAGUGGCAAGCGUUAUCCGGAAUUAUUGGGCGUAAAGCGCGCGUAGGCGGUUUUUUAGUCUGAUGUGAAAGCCCACGGCUCAAUCGUGGAGGGUCAUUGGAAACUGGAAAACUUGAGUGCAGAAGAGGAAAGUGGAAUUCCAUGUGUAGCGGUGAAAUGCGCAGAGAUAUGGAGGAACACCAGUGGCGAAGGCGACUUUCUGGUCUGUAACUGACGCUGAUGUGCGAAAGCGUGGGGAUCAAACAGGAUUAGAUACCCUGGUAGUCCACGCCGUAAACGAUGAGUGCUAAGUGUUAGGGGGUUUCCGCCCCUUAGUGCUGCAGCUAACGCAUUAAGCACUCCGCCUGGGGAGUACGACCGCAAGGUUGAAACUCAAAGGAAUUGACGGGGACCCGCACAAGCGGUGGAGCAUGUGGUUUAAUUCGAAGCAACGCGAAGAACCUUACCAAAUCUUGACAUCCUUUGACAACUCUAGAGAUAGAGCCUUCCCCUUCGGGGGACAAAGUGACAGGUGGUGCAUGGUUGUCGUCAGCUCGUGUCGUGAGAUGUUGGGUUAAGUCCCGCAACGAGCGCAACCCUUAAGCUUAGUUGCCAUCAUUAAGUUGGGCACUCUAAGUUGACUGCCGGUGACAAACCGGAGGAAGGUGGGGAUGACGUCAAAUCAUCAUGCCCCUUAUGAUUUGGGCUACACACGUGCUACAAUGGACAAUACAAAGGGCAGCGAAACCGCGAGGUCAAGCAAAUCCCAUAAAGUUGUUCUCAGUUCGGAUUGUAGUCUGCAACUCGACUACAUGAAGCUGGAAUCGCUAGUAAUCGUAGAUCAGCAUGCUACGGUGAAUACGUUCCCGGGUCU